AUGCACGCUGGCGGCGUGCCUAAUACCUGCAAGUCGAGCGAACAGACGAGGAGCUUGCUCCUCUGACGUUAGCGGCGGACGGGUGAGUAACACGUGGAUAACCUACCUAUAAGACUGGGAUAACUUCGGGAAACCGGAGCUAAUACCGGAUAAUAUAUUGAACCGCAUGGUUCAAUAGUGAAAGACGGUUUUGCUGUCACUUAUAGAUGGAUCCGCGCCGCAUUAGCUAGUUGGUAAGGUAACGGCUUACCAAGGCGACGAUGCGUAGCCGACCUGAGAGGGUGAUCGGCCACACUGGAACUGAGACACGGUCCAGACUCCUACGGGAGGCAGCAGUAGGGAAUCUUCCGCAAUGGGCGAAAGCCUGACGGAGCAACGCCGCGUGAGUGAUGAAGGUCUUCGGAUCGUAAAACUCUGUUAUUAGGGAAGAACAAAUGUGUAAGUAACUAUGCACGUCUUGACGGUACCGAAUCAGAAAGCCACGGCUAACUACGU
rnacentral:rRNA from 1 species